UCAUUCCGCGUGCAGGACGAAGGCCUUCGGGUUGUAAACUGCUUUUGUACGGAACGAAAAGGCUCUGGUUAAUACCUGGGGCUCAUGACGGUACCGUAAGAAUAAGCACCGGCUAACUACGUGCCAGCAGCCGCGGUAAUACGUAGGGUGCAAGCGUUAAUCGGAAUUACUGGGCGUAAAGCGUGCGCAGGCGGUGAUGUAAGACAGAUGUGAAAUCCCCGGGCUCAACCUGGGAACUGCAUUUGUGACUGCAUCGCUGGAGUGCGGCAGAGGGGGAUGGAAUUCCGCGUGUAGCAGUGAAAUGCGUAGAUAUGCGGAGGAACACCGAUGGCGAAGGCAAUCCCCUGGGCCUGCACUGACGCUCAUGCACGAAAGCGUGGGGAGCAAACAGGAUUAGAUACCCUGGUAGUCCACGCCCUAAACGAUGUCAACUGGUUGUUGGGUCUUCACUGACUCAGUAACGAAGCUAACGCGUGAAGUUGACCGCCUGAGGAGUACGGCCGGAAGGUUGCACACUCCAAGGAACUUGACGGGGGACCCGGC
rnacentral:rRNA from 1 species